rnacentral:lncRNA from 1 species
ACAAGGAUAAGAGUGAAGAUGAAAGUCCCAAAAUCGAUAAGAUUCUCGUUCCCGUUCAAACUACUGAGCCAGAGUCAAAUAGAAACUCACCCAAGGCUUAUAGUGAAGACAACAGUAGGAGUGGUGAUGUAGACCUUUGUCAUACCCAGGGGAGUAGUCGUCAUAAUGGUGGUAGGCAUGAGGAUAGGAGUGUAGAUGAAAAUCCCACAGUCAAUGAGACUGGUUCCAGUUAAAACUACUGAGCCAGAGUCAAAUAGAAACUCACCCACGGCUUGUAGUGAAGACAACAGUAGGAAUGGUGACGUAGAUCUUUGUCUUACCCAGGAGAGCAGUCGCCAUUAUGGUGAUAGGCAUGAGGGUAAGAGUGAAGAUAAAAGUCCCACAGUCAAUGAGAUUCUUGUUCCUGUUCAAACUACCAAGGCAAAGUCAAUUAGAAACUAGCCCAAAGCUUUUAGUGAAGACAACAGCAGGAGUGGUGAUAUAGACCUUUGCCUUACCCAGGAGAGCAGUCGUCGUAAUGGUGAUAGGCAGGAGGAUGAGUGUAGAUGAAAGUCCCAAGAUCAAUGAGAUUCUUCUUCCCUUCCAAAGUAUCGAGCCAGAGUCAAAUGGAAACUCGCCCAAGGGUUUUGAAAACAACAGUAGGAAUAACAAUGUGGGUCUAGUCUUACCCAGGAGACCAGUCCUCAUAAUGGUGAUAGGCAGGAAGGUAAGAGUAGAUGAAAGUCCCACAGUCAAUGAGAUUCUUGUUCGCAUUCAAACCACAGAGCCAGAGUCAAAUAGAAACUCGCCAAAGGGUUUUAGUGAAGACAACAGUAGGAGUGGUGAUAUAGAUCUUUAUCUUACCCAGGGGA